UACGUAGGGUCCGAGCGUUGUCCGGAAUUACUGGGCGUAAAGAGCUCGUAGGUGGUUUGUCGCGUUGUUCGUGAAAACUCACAGCUCAACUGUGGGCGUGCGGGCGAUACGGGCAGACUAGAGUACUGCAGGGGAGACUGGAAUUCCUGGUGUAGCGGUGGAAUGCGCAGAUAUCAGGAGGAACACCGGUGGCGAAGGCGGGGUCUCUGGGCAGUAACUGACGCUGGAGGAGCGAAAAGCGUGGGGAGCGAACAGG
rnacentral:rRNA from 1 species